AUUGAACGCUGGCGGCAUGCCUUACACAUGCAAGUCGAACGGUAACAGGUUAAGCUGACGAGUGGCGAACGGGUGAGUAAUAUAUCGGAACGUGCCCAGUCGUGGGGGAUAACGCAGCGAAAGCUGUGCUAAUACCGCAUACGAUCUACGGAUGAAAGCGGGGGACUCGCAAGAGCCUCGCGCGAUUGGAGCGGCCGAUAUCAGAUUAGCUAGUUGGUGGGGUAAAAGCCCACCAAGGCGACGAUCUGUAGCUGGUCUGAGAGGACGACCAGCCACACUGGAACUGAGACACGGUCCAGACUCCUACGGGAGGCAGCAGUGGGGAAUUUUGGACAAUGGGCGCAAGCCUGAUCCAGCAAUGCCGCGUGCAGGAUGAAGGCCUUCGGGUUGUAAACUGCCUUUGUACGGAACGAAACGGUCCCUUCUAAUACAAGGGGCUAAUGACGGUACCGUAAGAAUAAGCACCGGCCAACUACGUGCCAGCAGCCGCGGUAAUACGUAGGGUGCGAGCGUUAAUCGGAAUUACUGGGCGUAAAGCGUGCGCAGGCGGUUAUAUAAGACAGAUGUGAAAUCCCCGGGCUCAACCUGGGACCUGCAUAUGUGACUGUAUAGCUAGAGUACGGUAGAGGGGGAUGGAAUUCCGCGUGUAGCAGUGAAAUGCGUAGAUAUGCGGAGGAACACCGAUGGCGAAGGCAAUCCCCUGGACCUGUACUGACGCUCAUGCACGAAAGCGUGGGGAGCAAACAGGAUUAGAUACCCUGGUAGUCCACGCCCUAAACGAUGUCAACUGGUUGUUGGGUCUUCACUGACUCAGUAACGAAGCU
rnacentral:rRNA from 1 species